CUGAACUCUCUCGGCCUUGAUUUUUUUCUUUUAGCAAAAUAGGAGAAAGCUAGGAAUACACUGAUCCUGAUCCUGGGCGAUAGAAUGUCUGCACAGCCCUCUGAGUUGUUUGGUUGAAAGGGACAAAUCUGCCGGUGCAAAGUACAGAGUGGUCAUAUGUCAGCUCCUGUCAGGAGAAGGUCCAAGACUUCUUCCUUUGUGGCUAUGCUUCUCACCAGACAACACCAGAGGAAUCAAAUGAUGACUGAGCAGCCAAAGAGGAAUGUGGUUGAAUAAUAAAAGGCUGAGUCUCUG